UACGAAGGGUGCAAGCGUUACUCGGAAUUACUGGGCGUAAAGCGUGCGUAGGUGGUGAGUUAAGUCUGUCGUGAAAGCCCCGGGCUCAACCUGGGAAUGGCGAUGGAUACUGGCUCGCUAGAGUGCGGUAGAGGAGAGUGGAAUUCCCGGUGUAGCAGUGAAAUGCGUAGAUAUCGGGAGGAACACCGGUGGCGAAGGCGGCGACCUGGGUCGAGACUGACGCUGAGGCGCGAAAGCGUGGGGAGCAAACAGG
rnacentral:rRNA from 1 species